rnacentral:misc_RNA from 1 species
AAGUCGUAACAAGGUCUCCGUAGGUGAACCUGCGGAAGGAUCAUUAACACGUAUCCACGUAUCUACACCCUGGUCACUUGUUUCUCUCCCGCCCUGUCGACUCACAUGAAUUGGAAGGUGCGUCCCUACUUGGAAGAAAAAAUUUAUUUUUUCUUUGCUAACAAUUGUAGUGUUGCGACAGGCUAUUUAACAAUAACAUUUUUCACCACUUUUGCGAGUUGAUUUUUUCAGUAUCUGUCUAUUUUUUCUGGUUGUGUUCUCCGUAAUUGAGUUUACGUGAGAGAUGACUCGUUUCGAAAGGAACGAAAAAAUGAAAAAAGAAAACAUAUUACAACACCUUUACAACUCUUAGCAAUGGAUAUCUUGGUUCUC